rnacentral:rRNA from 1 species
ACUUUGAAAAAAUUAGAGUGCUCAAAGCAGGCUUGUAUAGCCUGAAUAAUGGUGCAUGGAAUAAUGGAAUAGGACCUCGGUUCUAUUUUGUUGGUUUUCGGAACCCGAGGUAAUGAUUAAGAGGGACAGACGGGGGCAUUCGUAUUGCGACGCUAGAGGUGAAAUUCUUGGACCGCCGCACGACGAACUACUGCGAAAGCAUUUGCCAAGAAUGUUUCCAUUAAUCAAGAACGAAAGUUAGAGGUUCGAAGGCGAUCAGAUACCGCCCUAGUUCUAACCAUAAACGAUGCCAGCUAGCGAUCCGACAGUGUUCCUCAAAUGACACGUCGGGCAGCUUCCGGGAAACCAAAGCUUUUGGGUUCCGGGGGGAGUAUGGUUGCAAAGCUUAAACUUAAAGGAAUUGACGGAAGCGCACACAAGGAUUGGGGCCUGCGGUUUAAUUUGACUCAACACGGUGCAACUCAUCCGGCCCGGACACAGGAAGGAUUGACAGAUUAAGAGCUCUUUCUUGAUUCUGUGAUAGGUGGUGCAUGGCCGUUUCUGGUUGGUGGAGUGAUUUGUCUGCUUUAUUGCGAUAACGAGCGAGACUCUAACCUGCUAAAUAGACGCCUGGAUUUUUUCUACAUGUCCAGCGUUCUUUCUUCUUAGAGGGACAGGCGGUGUUCAGCCGCACGAAACAGAGCAAAAACAGGUCAGGAUGCCCUCAGAUGCUCGGGGCCACACGCGCGCCACAUUGAAGGAACCAGCGUGUUUUCUCCCUGUCCGACAGGACUGGGUAACCCGUUGAACCUCCUUCGUGCUGGGGAUAGGAAAUUGUAAUUGUUUUCCUUGAACGAGGAAUUCCCAGUAAGCGCGAGUCAUCAGCUCGUGUUGAUUACGUCCCUGCGCUUUGUCCACACCGCCCGUCGCUAUUAUCGAUGAAUUUUGGAGUAAGAUCUU